rnacentral:rRNA from 1 species
GACGAACGCUGGCGACGUGCUUAACACAUGCAAGUCGAACGGAAAGGCCCUGCUUUUGUGGGGUGCUCGAGUGGCGAAUGGGUGAGUAACACGUGAGUAACCUGCCCUUGACUUUGGGAUAACUUCAGGAAACUGGGGCUAAUACCGGAUAGGAGCUCCUGCUGCAUGGUGGGGGUUGGAAAGUUUCGGCGGUUGGGGAUGGACUCGCGGCUUAUCAGCUUGUUGGUGGGGUAGUGGCUUACCAAGGCUUUGACGGGUAGCCGGCCUGAGAGGGUGACCGGCCACAUUGGGACUGAGAUACGGCCCAGACUCCUACGGGAGGCAGCAGUGGGGAAUAUUGCACAAUGGGCGGAAGCCUGAUGCAGCAACGCCGCGUGCGGGAUGACGGCCUUCGGGUUGUAAACCGCUUUCGCCUGUGACGAAGCGUGAGUGACGGUAAUGGGUAAAGAAGCACCGGCUAACUACGUG